ACCCGAUGCAAACUACGAAUACCGAAGAAUGUUAUCACGGGAGACACACGGCGGGUGCUAACGUCCGUCGUGAAGAGGGAAACAACCCAGACCGCCAGCUAAGGUCCCAAAGUCAUGGUUAAGUGGGAAACGAUGUGGGAAGGCACAGACAGCCAGGAUGUUGGCUUAGAAGCAGCCAUCAUUUAAAGAAAGCGUAAUAGCUCACUGGUCGAGUCGGCCUGCGCGGAAGAUGUAACGGGGCUAAACCAUGCACCGAAGCUGCGGCAGCGACACUAUGUGUUGUUGGGUAGGGGAGCGUUCUGUAAGCCUGCGAAGGUGUGCUGUGAGGCAUGCUGGAGGUAUCAGAAGUGCGAAUGCUGACAUAAGUAACGAUAAAGCGGGUGAAAAGCCCGCUCGCCGGAAGACCAAGGGUUCCUGUCCAACGUUAAUCGGGGCAGGGUGAGUCGACCCCUAAGGCGAGGCCGAAAGGCGUAGUCGAUGGGAAACAGGUUAAUAUUCCUGUACUUGGUGUUACUGCGAAGGGGGGACGGAGAAGGCUAUGUUAGCCGGGCGACGGUUGUCCCGGUUUAAGCAUGUAGGCUGAUUGUCCAGGCAAAUCCGGAUAAUCAAGGCUGAGGUGUGAUGACGAGGCACUACGGUGCUGAAGUAACAAAUGCCCUGCUUCCAGGAAAAGCCUCUAAGCAUCAGGUAACAUCAAAUCGUACCCCAAACCGACACAGGUGGUCAGGUAGAGAAUACCAAGGCGCUUGAGAGAACUCGGGUGAAGGAACUAGGCAAAAUGGUGCCGUAACUUCGGGAGAAGGCACGCUGGUGUGUAGGUGAAGUCCCUGCGGAUGGAGCUGAGACCAGUCGAAGAUACCAGCUGGCUGCAACUGUUUAUUAAAAACACAGCACUGUGCAAACACGAAAGUGGACGUAUACGGUGUGACGCCUGCCCGGUGCCGGAAGGUUAAUUGAUGGGGUUAUCCGUAAGGAGAAGCUCUUGAUCGAAGCCCCGGUAAACGGCGGCCGUAACUAUAACGGUCCUAAGGUAGCGAAAUUCCUUGUCGGGUAAGUUCCGACCUGCACGAAUGGCGUAAUGAUGGCCAGGCUGUCUCCACCCGAGACUCAGUGAAAUUGAACUCGCUGUGAAGAUGCAGUGUACCCGCGGCAAGACGGAAAGACCCCGUGAACCUUUACUAUAGCUUGACACUGAACAUUGAGCCUUGAUGUGUAGGAUAGGUGGGAGGCUUUGAAGCGUGGACGCCAGUCUGCGUGGAGCCAACCUUGAAAUACCACCCUUUAAUGUUUGAUGUUCUAACGUUGGCCCCUGACCGGGGUUGCGGACAGUGUCUGGUGGGUAGUUUGACUGGGGCGGUCUCCUCCCAAAGCGUAACGGAGGAGCACGAAGGUUAGCUAAUCCUGGUCGGACAUCAGGAGGUUAGUGCAAUGGCAUAAGCUAGCUUGACUGCGAGCGUGACGGCGCGAGCAGGUGCGAAAGCAGGUCAUAGUGAUCCGGUGGUUCUGAAUGGAAGGGCCAUCGCUCAACGGAUAAAAGGUACUCCGGGGAUAACAGGCUGAUACCGCCCAAGAGUUCAUAUCGACGGCGGUGUUUGGCACCUCGAUGUCGGCUCAUCACAUCCUGGGGCUGAAGUAGGUCCCAAGGGUAUGGCUGUUCGCCAUUUAAAGUGGUACGCGAGCUGGGUUUAGAACGUCGUGAGACAGUUCGGUCCCUAUCUGCCGUGGGCGCUGGAGAAUUGAGGGGGGCUGCUCCUAGUACGAGAGGACCGGAGUGGACGCAUCACUGGUGUUCGGGUUGUCAUGCCAAUGGCACUGCCCGGUAGCUAAAUGCGGAAGAGAUAAGUGCUGAAAGCAUCUAAGCACGAAACUUGCCCCGAGAUGAGUUCUCCCUGAGACUUUAAGUCUCCUGAAGGAACGUUAAAGACGAUGACGUUGAUAGGCCGGGUGUGUAAGCGCAGCGAUGCGUUGAGCUAACCGGUACUAAUGAACCGUGAGGCUUAACCUUACAACGCCGAAG
rnacentral:rRNA from 1 species